rnacentral:ribozyme from 1 species
UAAAAGAUGAUUAUCUAGGACUGAUAUCUAUGGGUUACUGAUAGAUCUAUUUUUAUUUCUUUCUAUUCUUCUUUUUUGCU